UUUUAAAAUAAUUGAUCAAGUAGCUUAAGCAAUUAAACUGAUGUUCUCUACUAUCUCGCAGCAACUUUAACGUUUAAUUGACUCCCGCGGAUAUCUUUUACUUGAACAGAGUCACAAUUAUGACAGAAAAUAGAUAACAUGUGUGAAUUUUCUAUGUGUCUAGACAUUAUUACCUAUGUAACUACAUCAAAUAAUAAUAAUUGUAUAAAUACACCAAACAAGAAAUUGAAUAAACACUAAUUUCUCAGACGGAACAAUAAGUAAUAAUAAUAAUGUAAUCUCAAUAAUAAAACAGAAAACAAGUUGAACAUAAUUAUAACGUUGUACGGCAUUCUCUAUGGAAACAAACAAGUUGGUUUUAUUUAACCUCAUGAUUCGGGACUUAAAACAAUUAGAAAUUAGAAGUAAAUGAAAGUUAAAAAUUAGGAGCUCUGUUGCCCUGUUCAUGAUAUUCUCCCAUUGUGCAACACCUAAUUAGUAUUAAAUUACUUAUAAAAAGAAAUUAUCACUCUUAAAUGUCAAAAGUAUGAAUAAAUGGGCAAUUAGAGUGAACGUUGAUAUUAGUGCGUAUGUUGUCACAAGACAAUAUAUAAUUUCAAUAGAAAUACAUUAACCCAGAUCUCAUGAAAAGAACUUCAGAUUUAUAAUAAACACUUUAAUAAAUAACGAUUAUUCGUUGAAUCUCAUCUUUAGUACAAUCAAUAAUAGAAUUAGAUUCCUGUUACAUGGGAAAACAAAUAAAAUAAGUAACAAAGAGAAUGAAAUUGUGGAGAAGCAAUCAUGGUUCAAGAUACCGUAUGUAGAUAUGAUCUCUGAUAAAUUAAAAAAUGUUGUUAGAGAUGUAAAUGUGAGAAUGGCAUAUUCGAGUCUUAAUAAAUUGCAAAGAUUUGUAAAAGUUCAUAAGGAUGCGCUCCCGGUCAGUUCUAACAAAGAUGUAGUCUACAGGAUUACAUGCAAGGACUGUGAUGCGACUUAUGUUGGACAAACUUCAAGACAGCUUAAAACGAGAACAUCGGAACAUAUAUCACAUUCGAAGAAAUACUAAUACACAUUGUGUCAUCACGGAACAUAGGCUGAAUCUUAACCAUGAAUUUGAUUGGGAAAAUGUCCAUAUUUUAGACAAAGAAAAAUUUUUAUCGAAGAGAUUGGUGUCAGAAAUGAUUCACAUUAAAUUACAGAAUAACAGCCUCAAUUUGCAGGCGGACACGAAAUUCUUGCACCAUGCUUAUGUUUCCGUUCUGAAUAAAUUGUAAAACAAGUUUGGUAAAGAAAUAUUAAACUAAACACUUGUCAUUCUGUUUUGGAAUUGAAUUUGUUUCGUGAUGUCUACCGUGUUUGCGUGCGUGACCUAGACAUAGGUAUGGUUUGGCAAAUAUUGACUCAGUACAUUCUAAGACGUCGUUCCGUGAGCUGGCAGAUUUCUUAAAAAUGAGACAGACAUUUGAUUAAUUGGUUAAGUCAGUGAUGGAACAUUGUAUCGAUGGAGAUGUUUUUUGUACUCAUUAUGUUGUAAUUCUUCGUUCUUUCGACUUAUGGGUGAGUGUUUAAAUUAAAUUGUUCUUUAAGCAGUUAAUUUAUCUGGUUUGGAUCACAUUACAGAUAGUGGUCAAGGUUGACUAUGACAAGGCUUGUUGAUUAAGGAAUUUCCAAGCUGUCACCAUAAGUACGGAGGAAUGUGAGAAUAUUUUGGUUUUAUAUUGCUAAAGAUGGCUACGAAUUUGAGCCAAAACGUACUUUAAUGUAUUUCUAUUGAAAUUAUAUAUUGUCUUGUGACAACAUACGCACUAAAUCAGCAUUAACUCUAAUUGCCCAUUUUUUCAUACUUUUAAAUUACUUAUUUUCAUAUUAUUAAACUGGACUUUGCUUACAAGUUGUGGUUUUCCUUAUGGUUAUAUAUUUAAUUAACCUACAUGUUUAUAUAUUUAAUUAUACUUAUUAUAUAUUAUAUGAUAAUAAUAACUUAAUAAUAACUUGAGUGCGCGCACAGGAGCAUGGAAGAAGUCAUUCAAUAUUUUCUUACAUGAACAGGAAAAAUAGCGGACAGUGUCAUAUCAGUGUUUCUAAGAAGCUAAUAAACAGCCAGGAUGGACAGGACGAAACAAUUUAAAAAGCCACUCAAGUGCUAUCCACGGAAUCAAUUGCACAGGGCCUGAGUAAGAACGUCCGCACUGGAAUUGAAAGAUGCUGCGUACAUACAAUAUCGCGCCUUGCAUUAUACAUAGAAGAUGCUGCUAGUCGUGCAAUUAAGCCACAACUGGCCUCCUUCAAUACGAAGAAAAUUGAAGCAAAACUGAGUUGCGAUAAAAAAGUUUGGGUUUUAUUCUUCCUAACUUUCUUCGUGGGAGCAUGAAAUUUGGGACAAGAACUUCCGCGUAAUUUUUUAAACUAAGCUUCAUGGUAAGAUUCACCGAACUUCAGAAACAGAGUUAAAGGGAAGUAAAUGCACUCGGUGGAAAAGUGGCGCGCGCUUGCAAUUUAUUUGUUCUUAUUUCAGCACACUUCUUAUCCGCAAAGCAUACAAAUAUUAAUUUUCUGAAACAAUGAAAUUAUUAAUGUAUGCAAUAAGAAGUUUAUAAGAACAAGAAAGAGGAAAGAAGAUUACGACAAGAAAAUAAAAAAGAAAGAAAUCUUCGUCAAGCAAACUCGAUGACGCAAAAGAUUAUAUCCGAGAAAGUGGUACAUCAUUAAAGAUGCUGUUCAGAGGACAAGAUCGUGCUUUCAAAACAGAGUGAUCAGUCUUACGAUGCACACCUCCGUCUCGAAAUGGCUUGUCCAAGGUUCGCAUGUCGAUUGCAAAGUGGAUGUACAUCGGAAAUGCAUUAGCACACCGUUCGCGCGGCUAUUGGCCAACAUGUUCUCUCUCUCUCUCUCUUUCUCCGUUCCCAUCCCAUUCUAGAAGAAACCCACGUAUUGGGUAAAUGAUCUGUCGUGGAUUGCGAUAUAUUGGAGGAAGAUAUUCGCCAGGAAAGUUAGUAUCCGUUCCAUCUUAUUGCGCGGCCGAUAAAACCGUGAACUCGUUUGCGUGAGUUGUUCCACGAAAGACGCAGCUCGACGAAAAUGGUUGGGGAAAGAAUUUGGUAAUAAAAAAUCGGUAAUAAUAAAGAAUUUGGUAAUAAAAUAAAACAGGACGUUUCCAUCAUCAUCCGCUUCCUUGUGCAUCCACGGACGAGACUAAUGAAACCACCAACACGUGAACAUGAUUACAUCAAGGCCAUAAUUUGAGAACAAUGUUAGCACCGUGCUAUCUUCUUGCCUCACGUAGUACCGUACAAUUGCCUGCCAGCUGCCUUGACUCGGGAUUGAUGUAAUCACCGAUGACAGUCGGCUAACGUGCGCGCCGCCAACCUUCACCCAUCUACCUGAUGUGCGACCCCCUUUCGUCGCAUUCUUUUUAUGCCUACUCGCGUGUACCGUUUGUCAAGAACACUUGGAAUAUCAUUAAGUCUCAGCAUCGACUGCGGUCAUCCCAGAUAUUUAACUAUCGAUUAAGCAGGUCGACUGCUUUAUCAAUGAGAUCAGCAAUUUUUUAAAUCGGCUGGAAAAAUGAAAAUAACGGCUGAUAAAUGGCAUCGGAAACUCGAGAAUUCAGGUAACGGAUUUCACGAUCGGCGAGCCGUUCCUGCGCGAACGUGGAACAGAUAUAACGCCAAUGAGUUACCUAAACGAGUAACACGAUGCAAGCGCUCGUGUAUGUGACCUGAAACCGUGAAGCACCGCUUCCUUAACAUUCGUGUCUGUACUCUAACGCCCGAGACAUUUAACUGUUUCUCGUUAAAAUUAGCGGAAACGGCAUCGUAAAAUCCUAAGCCUCGUCAAGUUCCCGUUCGCGUCACGGGGCACGGAGCACCGACGAGCAACGACGAGUAAAUUGUCGCGGUCACGGGACGAGCUACAUGGACAAGGAGAAAGAAAGAGAGAGAGAGAGAGAGAGAGGAAGAAAAAGAGAGACGUUGCGGCACGUAAGUUUCUACGCUCAUCUAUGUGUAGCGAAGCCGCUUAAUGACGCUGCGACAAAUAAUGGCAGAGUUAACGGACUCUAUUAUUAUUUUCGCCUAACUAGAUCGGCUACCGCGGAAAAUUACUAGCUAUUCCCGGCUUUAUGCGCGCAAUUACGCGGUGACGUCAAAACGUCGAGGAGAUGCCCUGCGACCAAAAUUGAAAUGUAUAAGAACGUCGCAGAAGUCGAGGAAAAACAUGCUUGAAAAUUUUUAUAGGCGUGUAAAAUUAUAUAUUGCGUCAAGGAUACCUAGCCAGAUGAAAGAGCAUUAGUCUCUGCGCACUCGAACCUUGCGUGUCGAAGCUAUCAUCGUUGACUCUUAUAUAGGGAUAAUAUUAUAUCAUGUAAAGCGAUGUAUAGUAACACUUUCUUCCUUAUUUCUUUGCUAUUUGAGAAGAUUGUGUCGCGCAAGCUCGCGACAAAAGCGAGCUUUCAUGAUAAGUCUCAAAGAGGAAAAAGAUUCCUUUUAUUGCGAAUAAUGCUGUUUUCCGACGAAAUGUUCUUUAACGUUUCAGCCUGAGCAAUUCUUAGAGUAAGUACAUCAUAAUUGAUAAACUCGUUGUAGAAAAGAAGACAAAUCAGAGCAACGGAUUGAGCAAGAAAAGAAACAAAAAAUAUAACUGCAACUAUUCAUCUUGAUUUUCUCCUUUAUGUCCGUCUCAAUAAAAAUAGUCCGACGCAUUCAGAAGUAAUCCAGACGACGUAUCGGCUCGGAUCGAUGCCAGCAUUGCAUUGGCUGAAAGAUGGACUUGGCGGAAAAGUUUUAAGUCGUACACGUUUAACACAUGGAUUGGUAUUGCAAUGAUAUCCGAUCCUAGGAUUUUUUCUGGUAAAUUAGGAUGUUACUUCUUGGUGCUUCCUGUUAAUAUCUUGAAAUAAUAUUUUAUUGCUCUAUAAUUGAAUUUGGAUUUCCAGCCAUUUCAUCGCGUCUCAUCUCGAUGCAAUUUCCCGCAUCUGUCUGUAAUAAAUAAAACACGUAAUAAAUCACAUCGUGUGUGGUUACUGAAGAACGCAAAAGUCAUUAUUUCCUGGAGAGCUUACCCAA